rnacentral:rRNA from 1 species
UACGUAGGGACCAAGCGUUGUCCGGAAUCAUUGGGCGUAAAGAGCGUGUAGGCGGCUUGUUAAGUCUUGCGUGAAAUCUCGGGGCUCAACCCCGAGCGGUCGUGAGAAACUGGCAGGCUAGAGUGCGGGAGAGGAGAGUGGAAUUCCUGGUGUAGCGGUGAAAUGCGCAGAUAUCAGGAAGAACACCAAUUGCGAAGGCAGCUCGCUGGGACGUAACUGACGCUGAGACGCGAAAGCGUGGGGGAGCAAACAGG